CUCUCAAGUAACUGGUUUUAGUGACUGUCCUCAUAUUUCCCACUUCUCACUGAGAGCCUGUUUUAAAUUGAUGCUCUGAUUCCUGUGCUAUGAUCUCUUGGUUUUCAUGGCAUCUUGGUACCUGCUGAAGCUUGGGAAGGCAAAGGGAGUGUGAUGUGGCAGCUUUUACCCUUGUGUACUGGGUUUUGAUGUGUUCACCAGUCACUGCUCACCUCUUUCCUAUGCAUGAUGUAAAGAACAGAGGAUACCUUCCCUGGUGCCCUGCACCCUCCUGGAUGACACAACUAAGAAAUCAAACAAGGAGAGCCUGCGCAAGGCCAUGCACGUGCUUGUGGACUAUGGCUAUAACCUAGAAGCCACAGAUCAAGAACAUGGUGUUGGUUUUGCUUUGCCACCUCGCUUCCAAAUUCAUGAGUAGUUCUUCAAAGGACUGCUCUGCAUUAUGCCUGUGUCUAUGACCAGCCCAAAGUGGUGACACUCCUGAUAAAGAUGAAUUAUGAUGUCAACAUCUGUGACGAUGACAAGAGCACAGCACUCAUAAAGGACAGCCUCACUCCACUAUUACUUGCACUGAAAGAAAACAAUCAGCAAAUGGCAGAAUUCCUAGUGGACAUGGGAGCGAGCAUCCACACGACGGAUCAUCACGGAAGGUACAGGGUUUUACUUUUCUUCUGCUCCUUUUGACCUUAGUGUGGUGUAAAAUGGUAAGAAUACAUGAGUCAGAAAUGUUCCAUUAAUGGGAAGAAGUCCAUUAUCUUACAAUGUUUAGGACAUCGUAAGCACUUUCAGCAUAAACCAUUAGUCAUCAAUUAUUAAGGGUGGGCAGCACAACAACACCACACAACAUUAUUCUUUUACCAUUGCAGGGAAGAGUG
rnacentral:lncRNA from 1 species